UACGUAGGGUGCGAGCGUUGUCCGGAAUUAUUGGGCGUAAAGAGCUCGUAGGCGGUCUGUCGCGUCGAUCGUGAAAACUUGGGGCUUAACCCUGAGCUUGCGGUCGAUACGGGCAUGACUGGAGUUCGGCAGGGGAGACUGGAAUUCCUGGUGUAGCGGUGAAAUGCGCAGAUAUCAGGAGGAACACCGGUGGCGAAGGCGGGCCUCUGGGCCGUAACUGACGCUGAGGAGCGAAAGCAUGGGGAGCGAACAGG
rnacentral:rRNA from 1 species